CCUUCGGGCGGCAGCAGUGGGGAAUAUUGCACAAUGGGGGAAACCCUGAUGCAGCGACGCCGCGUGAGUGAUGAAGUAUUUCGGUAUGUAAAGCUCUAUCAGCAGGGAAGAUAAUGACGGUACCUGACUAAGAAGCUCCGGCUAAAUACGUGCCAGCAGCCGCGGUAAUACGUAUGGAGCAAGCGUUAUCCGGAUUUACUGGGUGUAAAGGGAGCGCAGACGGCAGGGCAAGUCUGAUGUGAAAGUCCGGGGCUCAACCCCGGGACUGCAUUGGAAACUGUCCGGCUAGAGUGCAGGAGAGGUAAGUGGAAUUCCUAGUGUAGCGGUGAAAUGCGUAGAUAUUAGGAGGAAUACCGUUAGCGAAGGCGGCAAUCUGGCUGGAAACUGACGCUGAGGUGCGAAAGCGUGGGUAGCAAACAGGAUUAGAUACCCCAGUAGUC
rnacentral:rRNA from 1 species